UUCCGGUUGAUCCUGCCGGAGGCCACUGCUAUUGGGAUCCGACUAAGCCAUGCGAGUCGAGAGGGUUCGGCCCUCGGCAGACUGCUCAGUAACACGUGGAUAACCUACCCUUAGGUGGAGGAUAAUCUCGGGAAACUGAGAAUAAUACUCCAUAGAUCUAGGAUGCUGGAAUGCACCUAGAUUGAAAGCUCUGGCGCCUAAGGAUGGGUCUGCGGACUAUCAGGUUGUAGUCAGGGUAAAGACCUGACUAGCCUACGACGGAUAUGGGUUGUGAGAGCAAUAGCCCAGAGACGAUAUCUGAGACACGAUAUCGGGCCCUACGGGGCGCAGCAGGCGCGAAAUCUUCACAAUGUGCGAAAGCACGAUGAGGGGAUCCCAAGUGCUGGCACGUAAGUGUCAGCUGUUUCUUUGUCUAAAAAACAAAGAGAGUAAGAGCUGGGUAAGACGGGUGCCAGCCGCCGCGGUAAUACCUGCAGCUCAAGUGGUGGCCGCUAUUAUUGGGCCUAAAACGUCCGUAGCCGGUUUAGUAAAUGCUUGGGUAAAUAGUGUAGCUUAACUAUACGAAUUCCGGGUAGACUGUUAGACUUGAGACCGGGAGAGGCUAGAGGUACUCCUGGGGUAGAGGUGAAUUCUGUAAUCCUGAGGGGACCACCAGUGGCGAAGGCGUCUAGCUAGAACGGGUCUGACGGUGAGGAACGAAGCCCUGGGGCGCGAACCGGAUUAGAUACCCGGGUAGUCCAGGGUGUAAACGCUGCUUGCUUGAUGUUAGUUGGGCUCCGAGCCCAAUUAGUGUCGGAGAGAAGUUGUUAAGCAAGCUGCCUGGGAAGUACGAUCGCAAGAUUGAAACUUAAAGGAAUUGGCGGGGGAGCACAGCAACGGGUGGAGCGUGCGUUUAAUUGCAAUCACGCCG
rnacentral:rRNA from 1 species